rnacentral:rRNA from 1 species
UACGUAGGGGGCAAGCGUUGUCCGGAUUUAUUGGGCGUAAAGAGCGUGUAGGCGGUUUGGUAGGUCCGCUGUGAAAACUCGAGGCUCAACCUCGAGACGCCGGUGGAAACCAUCAGGCUAAAGUCCGGAAGAGGAGAGUGGAAUUCCUGGUGUAGCGGUGAAAUGCGCAGAUAUCAGGAAGAACACCCGUGGCUAAGGCGGCUCUCUAGUACGGUACUGACGCUGAGACGCGAAAGCGUGGGGAGCGAACAGG